rnacentral:rRNA from 1 species
GUCCGAUUAGCUAGUUGGUGAGGUAAUGGCUCACCAAGGCAAUGAUCGGUAGCUGGUCUGAGAGGAUGAUCAGCCACACUGGAACUGAGACACGGUCCAGACUCCUACGGGAGGCAGCAGUGGGGAAUCUUGCACAAUGGGCGAAAGCCUGAUGCAGCGACGCCGCGUGGGGGAUGAAGCUUCUCGGAGUGUAAACCCCUUUCGCCUGGGACGAAUGCCCGCAAGGGAGUGACGGUACCAGGAUAAGAAGCCCCGGCUAACUACGUGCCAGCAGCCGCGGUAAGACGUAGGGGGCCAGCGUUGUUCGGAAUUACUGGGUGUAAAGGGUUCGUAGGCGGUGUGGCAAGUUGGGAGUGAAAUCUCUGGGCUCAACCCAGAGGCUGCUUCCAAAACUGCUGUGCUUGAGUGUGGGAGAGGCUCGUGGAAUUGCAGGUGUAGCGGUGAAAUGCGUAGGUAUCUGCAGGAACACCCGUGGCGAAAGCGGCGAGCUGGAUCACUACUGACGCUGAGGAACGAAAGCUAGGGGAGCA